CCUACGGGUGGCAGCAGUGGGGAAUAUUGGACAAUGGGCGAAAGCCUGAUCCAGCCAUGCCGCGUGUGUGAAGAAGGCCUUCGGGUUGUAAAGCACUUUCAGUGGGGAAGAAAGCCUUGGGGCUAAUACCCUCGAGGAAGGACAUCACCCACAGAAGAAGCACCGGCUAACUCCGUGCCAGCAGCCGCGGUAAUACGGAGGGUGCGAGCGUUAAUCGGAAUUACUGGGCGGAAAGCGCGCGUAGGCGGUCUGAUAAGCCGGUUGUGAAAGCCCCGGGCUCAACCUGGGAACGGCAUCCGGAACUGUCAGGCUAGAGUGCAGGAGAGGAAGGUAGAAUUCCCGGUGUAGCGGUGAAAUGCGUAGAGAUCGGGAGGAAUACCAGGGGCGAAGGCGGCCUUCUGGACUGACACUGACGCUGAGGUGCGAAAGCGUGGGUAGCAAACAGGAUUAGAUACCCCUGUAGUC
rnacentral:rRNA from 1 species